AGCUUUGUGCAGUGGCAGCAUCAUAGCCAAUGAGGUUUUCCUGGGGCAUGAUUAUUGCUAGCUGAAAACUUUUCCUGUUACCCUGCCAUGACAAUUUAAAAUGUAGUAGGCAUUUGCACCUUUUGACAGUCUCUAUGGAGA